CUGACAUUACUAUUACGAUUGCUAUCAUCUACUGUGAAGGCUGAAAGCGGGUUAUAAUAAAAAUAUAAAACUCACGAACGUUCAACAUUAUUCAAGGCAUCGGGGACAGGAGAAGAGGUGUUUGCAAAGGGCUACAGAUGGCGAGAGAACCAUCAGCAAACAUGUAUGCAAAUUGCUGGACCUAAGCAGACUCUUGGAAGCAUAUAGAAGAUGCAUAAACUUUGAUGAAGUCUUUUAGGAGUAUCCAAAGCAAGGAAAGGAUGA